AGGAUUAUCCAAGUGUAACAAAUUUAUCAAAUCAAUUGAUUUUAGUAUCAUCCUAGUAUCACUCAAUCCCUUAAAAGCUUGUUCAACUAAAAUUAAAAUGGCACUGUCUAGGAAAAAAUAAUACACUUGAGAAAAAUAAUCCAUCAGUUAGAUUUCUUUUGUAAAGUGGAUUCUUGGUAAAUUAGCUAAAUAAGAACUAGAAAAUGCAUGUAAUCACAUAAAGCAAUGGUCUUGAGGAAACAAAUCUGACCAAUAUGAGCCAAUUUAACGAAGAAAAAACUUUUUUGAAAGUCAACCAAGAUGUUAUAACCUAGCAAUGCAUUAAUCAAGUACCUAAAGAACUAUGGGUUGAGAGAAAAAGGCUAUAGUGAAAUAAAAAGAGUGGGCAUAGAGAGAGGGGGAGGGAGAGGAGAGCGAGGAGAAGGAUGUGUGGGCGGAGGAGGACCAAGAACCAUGGUACACGAUGCCUC
rnacentral:lncRNA from 1 species